rnacentral:lncRNA from 1 species
GGUCUAUAACAGCUGGGGGCUGAGGGGGGUCUAUAACAGCUGGGGGCAGAGGGUGGUCUAUAGCAAGCGGCAACGGUGAGAGACUUGUUUCUGGAAAGGUGGAUUUUAAAAAUUAGAAGCUCAAAUUGUUUGGGCACAGACCUGGAUAGUAAGAUAGGACUCUGCAGGCUAUCUCUGCAGUAGAUUGCAACACCGCCCCCUUUGGCAGUUCUAUCUUGAUAGAAAAUGUUAUAGUUAGGGAUGGAAAUUUCAGGGUUUUUGGUGGUUUUCCUAAGCCAGGAUUCAGACACGGCUAAGACAUCCGGGUUGGCGGAGUGUGCUAAAGCAGUGAAUAAAACAAACUUAGGGAGGAGGCUUCUAAUGUUAACGUGCAUGAAACCAAGGCUUUUACGGUUACAGAAGUCAACAAAUGAGAGCGCCUGGGGAAUAGGAGUGGAGCUAGGCGCUGCAGGGCCUGGAUUACAUCACCAGAGGAACAGAGGAGGAGUAGGAUAAGGGUACGGCUAAAGGCUAUAAGAACUGGUCGUCUGGUACGUUCGGAACAGAGAGUAAAAAGAACAGGUUUCUGGGCGUGGUAGAAUAGAUUCAAGGUAUAAUGUACAGACAAAGGCAAGCUAGGAUGUGAAUACAGUGGAGGUAAACAUAUGGAUUUAGUGAUUAUGAGAGAGAUAUAGUCUCUAGAAACAUCAUUUAAACCAGGUGAGGUCACCUCAUGUGUGGGAGGUGGGACAACAUGGUUGGUUAAGGCGUAUUGAGCAGGGCUAGAGGCUCCACAUUGAAAUAAGACAGUAAUCACUAACCAAAACAGCAAUGGACGAGGCAUAUUGACAUUAGGGAGAGGUAUGCGUAGCCGAGUGAUCAUUUGGUCCUGUGAGUAGCUGGGCGAGCUGGAGACACGGCGAUUCAGACAGCUAGCGGGUCGGCGCUAGCAGGCUAGCAGAAGGGGCUUAGAGGGACGUCGUGACGGAAGAGGUCUGUUGUAGCCCCCUCGGGCGGUUACGUCGGCGGAUCAGUCGUGAAAGAUCAGCAGGGGUUCGUGUAGUAAAAUGGUCCAGGCCAAAUACGUUUAGUAGCGCAAGAAAUUGGCUGAUGGACUUCUUCAGCUAACAGCUCUAGACAGCUAGCGGACAGCGGCUAGCAGGUUAGCAGAUGGGCAAUCAGGGGACGUUGUGACGGUGGGGCCAGUUGAAAAAAAACCCCUUGGGCGGAUUACGUCGGUAGUCCAGUCGUGAUGAAUCGGCGGGGCUCCGUAUCGGCAAUAAAAGGGGUCCAGGCCAAUUGGCAAAGUAGGUAUUGUAGCCUAAGGAGUGGCUGAUGGACCUCUUCAGCUAGCCGGGACAUGGGCCUAGCAUAGGCUAGCUCCAGGCUAAUUGGUGCUUGCUUCGGGACAGAGACGUUAGCCAGGAGAAGCCAAUCGGGAUAGCUAGCUAGCUAGCUGCGAUGAUCCAGGUGAAGAGGUUCAGAGCAUGCGGUAGGAAUCCGGGGAGAUGGAGAAUAAGAAGUCCGAUUCUCUCUGGGUUGAAUCACG